rnacentral:rRNA from 1 species
UACGGUGAAUACGUUCCCGGACCUUGUACACACCGCCCGUCAAGCCAUGGAAGCUGGGUGUACCUAAAGUCGGUAACCGCAAGGAGCCGCCUAGGGGUAAAAACUAGUAACUGGGGCU